UACGGAGGAUCCAAGCGUUAUCCGGAAUCAUUGGGUUUAAAGGGUCCGUAGGCGGUUUGGUAAGUCAGUGGUGAAAGCCCAUCGCUCAACGGUGGAACGGCCAUUGAUACUGUAGGACUUGAAUUAUUAGGAAGUAACUAGAAUAUGUAGUGUAGCGGUGAAAUGCUUAGAUAUUACAUGGAAUACCAAUUGCGAAGGCAGGUUACUAACAAUAUAUUGACGCUGAUGGACGAAAGCGUGGGUAGCAAACAGG
rnacentral:rRNA from 1 species